GACGAACGCUGGCGGCGUGCUUAACACAUGCAAGUCGAGCGGUAAGGCCCUUUCGGGGGUACACGAGCGGCGAACGGGUGAGUAACACGUGGGUGACCUGCCCUCAGCUCUGGGAUAAGCCUGGGAAACCGGGUCUAAUACCGGAUAUGACUCCAUGACGCAUGUUGUGGGGUGGAAAGCCUUGUGCGGCUGAGGAUGGGCCCGCGGCCUAUCAGCUUGUUGGUGGGGUGANGGCCC
rnacentral:rRNA from 1 species